UACUGGAAAAUUUAUUUUAAUUUUUCUAAGUGUUUAGAAUAAAUGUUUUGUUUAUUUUUGCAAAAACAAUUGCACAUUCAGUGAAAUUAUGAAUAACUACGUAUGUGAAAUUAGGCAGUUUCAUGCGGAGACCACCCUCUUUUUUUGAUUGGUCAAGCAUAUUUCAGCUCGUUCAUUUCUGUUCACUGGCAAUGUCAGUGAACAAGCAGCUUGCCGUUGCAAGGUUUAAGUCAGUUGAUCAGUUUUGAACUUUUUUAGCUACGUCCGCCAUUUUUGCAGGUCUCCAAAAUAUUUCACACACUUAUUCCAGGAUUUUCUUUCAAAACGUUGGGUUUUUUAAAACAGUUAUUUUAAUAAGGCAGUAGAACAACACUUUAAACAUGAAUCGUACUUUGCAGGUGCUUUCGACAACACGGAUUUCCAAGUCUUUCAGCCUACGCACAGUGAAAAAGAAACGUCCCUUACGGGUGGCGCCAGUUUUGCUAAUGCCAGCAAACGUCAAGCGCCUGCGCUCCAGUGCACUCACACUGUUGUGGUUUGAAGUGGCAGCAGUAACCUGUCUACUCUCAAACGAAAAAUAUCUGAGUGACUCUUGGAUAUCCAUAAUACUUAAGAGAUGAUUUAACAGUGGAGCAACUUGAGGUUUUAUACGCAAACAGCAAACGCCGUCACAAGUCACAUAGCGAUUAAAUUCAUGACGAAGUUUGCCUGAAAAUACUCGGACUUCCAAGAAGAUUUCUAAAACGAUCGUACGGCAGCACAAUAUUUUAUGGAAAAUUCUGGGAAAGAGGCUGCGCCGGAUUUCGGGGACUGAAAAAAUCGCUGGAAAGAGGAUUGUUUUCGAUGGUUUAAUUUGGAUAUCCGUGUCUGUUUGCAACCUCCAGAAUCUAUAAAAAUUUUCAGUAGAUCUUGGCCGUGCUCUGUUUUUAUUUCGGUAAAUAAUUUAAAGGAUUUCCAAACUUGCUCUUCGUUUCAGAAUUUUUGUUCGGUAUUUUUAGUUCUUAGGUAAACCUAUUUUUUUUGUGUAGGGAGAAUAAAAGUGUGCUUUG